UGAUAAUAUACAAACAGUAGUGAAAGAUAGCAAUUGCAACAUUUCAACCAGAAGAAGGGAAAAGAGAACUAAACUUCUCUUCCAGCCAUGUUUUCAUCAUAUUACUAUCAAGAGAACACUGAAAAACACUGGUGUGCAUGGCAAGAUGGAAGGAGAAAGUCUGUACUCUCAAAAAGGAACAUUGCUGCCUGUCUAUAGAUGGAGAACACCAUAUGGAUAAGCCCAACAUAUUCAAAUAAUUGUACUAUGGACAGCCUGUACUGCUCCUUGCCUGCUUGCCAUUUCUUUGGGAACUUUGCUGUGCUUGCUUACAUUCAUUCAAAUGGACCAUAAAAGGCCUCCAAAUUGGUUGGAGAAAAGACCCCUGGUGGCUAAGAUUUGCCUGAGCAAAGUCAUCUAUCAGGGCUCCAAGGAGUAAAUGUUGGUAGCAGAAAGAUGAAGAAAAAAUCAGAAGAGUCAGGUGAAUUCUGGGACAUAGAAAGGGAAAAGAUACGCCCUAGGAAGGGAAAGAAAGGAGCAAGACAGAAAAGAAUGGUACUGAUUAUAACCUUUACCGUUUCUGUGCUAUGUGUGUACUUUCUAUUCUAUUGGGCAUACAUUUUCCUCCCUUUUUUUUUCUACAUGCACAUGAGUUUAUUUCCAAGGAGAGAGUUGAAAAGUUGUUGGCUGAUAGCAGAAACACAAAAAAGUACAUAUUAAAAAAUGAGUUAGGAACAAAAAGAGUUCACAUGAUUUUUUUUCCAGCAGAUUUUUUUAUCAGGUUUUUGGGAAGAUUUGUUGUAGGUCUCUACCUCUAUACCAUAAUCAGUUAUAUUGUAAUAAUGCCCAAGACACUUGUUCAAUAUUUCAACUUGAUAUACUACGAGGCACUCUCCCCAAUGUACAUGCUUACAAGAAAAGCAAGUAAUUUUUGAUAUAGGAAGUUGCACCAAUAAACUUAUGCCAAAUAUAAAUACUUAAUUAUACCAUAGAGAUUGAUCCACAUUUUUAAUGCCAUGCCUACAUUUCUAAUCCAACAAGGGCUUGUCUGCCUUUUAAACCAAAUUAAUUUUACCUGUAACCCUGAACAAAGUCAAGAUGUAUAUCCACAGAGUUUAACGUCAGUGUUUCUCAACAUACAUGUAUUUUUGUAUUCUAUAUUAUUUCUCUCCACAUGGACCAAUGAGUAUGCUAGUCUCUUCUGCUUAAAAAAAAAUUAAAGAGCUUCAAGUUAUGAUCUCCAUGGAAGAAAACUUGAAUAAAUUAUGCUCUGCUGAUGUCCUUCCAGCAAGCUGGUUAAUUGCAUUUGUUUCCUAUAUCUCUAAACAGCCUGGUACAUUAAUUACAUUCUGUAACACCAGGCUCCUGUGAUUCAUUCUGUCACUUCCACUGAGCACUUUAAUUG